AAGAAAGAAGAGUUCGGGCCAGCAGUCCAAUGCACUGGAAAGAAUUGCUGAUACGCUCUGUCAACCACCAACUUCAUUUGAAAUACCGGCAGCACUCAAACUCGAUGAAAUUGAUUCCACUCUAGAAGUUAUUGGAUGCAGGCAAAUACACGUGGCAUUGUGAGACAAAGGCCUAGUCGGCCAUAAUAGCUGUGUUUCUUCUCGGUGUGUUCUUUGUCUCAGCGAGAACUUGGCUGACGCCGCUUCUUCACGGUCAAUGACUACAUCGUUUUAAUCAGAGUGUUAUUACACAGACUGAUAACAAGGUGGCGGUCUACAUUACAUAAUUAAAGAUCUGUGACAAGUGGAAGAACAAUAUUUGAGCUUGCGGCGAAGAGACCAGAAGAUUUAAUAAAUCAA